rnacentral:rRNA from 1 species
AGCUGGCGGCAGCCUAACAAUGCAAGUCGAACGAAGCAGCAAUACUUAGUGGCAGACGGGUGAGUAACAUGUAGGUAUCUACCCUUUGGCCUGGAAUAACACGAGGAAACUUGUGCUAAUACCGGAUAAGUCUUUACGGAGAAAGCUUUAUGCACCAUUGGAUGAGCCUGCACUUGAUUAGUUUGUUGGUAGGGUAAUGGCCUACCAAGACUGUGAUCAAUAGCUGAUUUGAGAGGAUGAUCAGCCACAUUGGGACUGAGACACGGCCCAAACUCCUACGGGAGGCAGCAGUGGGGAAUCUUGCACAAUGGAGGAAACUCUGAUGCAGCGAUGCCGCGUGAGUGAAGAAGGCCUUUGGGUUGUAAAGCUCUUUCGUCGGGGAAGAAAAUGACUGUACCCGAAUAAGAAGGUCCGGCUAACUUCGUGCCAGCAGCCGCGGUAAUACGAAGGGACCUAGCGUAGUUCGGAAUUACUGGGCUUAAAGAGUACGUAGGUGGUUGAAAAAGUUGGUGGUGAAAUCCCAGAGCUUAACUCUGGAACUGCCAUCAAAACUUUUCAGCUGGAGUUUGAUAGAGGAAAGCAGAAUUUCUAGUGUAGAGGUGAAAUUCGUAGAUAUUAGAAAGAAUACCAAUUGCGAAGGCAGCUUUCUGGAUCAUUACUGACACUG